rnacentral:rRNA from 1 species
GUAACGCGUAAGACUUGCCUCACAGCUAGGGACAACAUUUGGAACGGAUGCUAAUACCUGAUAUUAUGAUUUUAAGGCAUCUUAGAUAUGAAAGCUAUACGCGCUGUGAGAGAGCUUUGCGUCCCAUUAGCUAGUUGGAGAGGUAACGGCUCACCCAAGGCGAUGAUGGGUAGCCGGCCUGAGAGGGUGAACGGCCACAAGGGGACUGAGACACGGCCCUUACUCCUACGGGAGGCAGCAGUGGGGAAUAUUGGACAAUGGACCAAGAGUCUGAUCCAGCAAUUCUGUGUGCACGAUGACGUUUUUCGGAAUGUAAAGUGCUUUCAGUUGGGAAGAAAAAAAUGACGGUACCAACAGAAGA